GCCCACAACCAUAUCACCCUGUAGCCAAGCUAAGCAGGGCCGAGCCUGGUCAGUGCCUGGAUGGGAGACCACAUGGAAAAACUAUGUUGCUGUUGGAA
rnacentral:rRNA from 1 species